rnacentral:lncRNA from 1 species
UUUAAAGUCAAUAGGGAACAAAUGUGCCUUAAGUUAAGGAAGAAAUUAAGAAAAAAAAGGCACUUUUGGUUAAGUUUUUCAGAAGAGGCAGAUUUUGGGAAUUUUAUUUUGAAAAUGGGCAGAUUUUUGAGAUUUUUAGUUGAAAAAUGGGCAAUUUUUGGGAUUUGGUUGGUUGGUAAGACUUUCAAAAAAGGGAGGAAAGGGCAGUUAGUUUUAACUAUAAAUAAGGAGUCAUUUUGACACUAAAAGGAGAAUUUUCGGGAGCAGAUUUUGAGAACAUAAAAAGAAACAUAAAGGCUGCUUUUAAUCAAUUUUGAGAGAGAAUUAGAAAGCAAAAAUAUGGCUGGAUUUUAACACUUAAAAUUCAGUCUUGGAGAGUUUGAAAAAGAAAAACAGAAAGCAAAGUACUAUUUCGUUGCAUUUCUGAGUUGAUUUCUGCCUUCUGUUUGUUUCUGGGAGUUCAUUGGUUCAAUUUGGUAUUGCUGAGGUUUUCAAUCAAUUUUUCUGAGUUUGCUGUUGGAUUCUUGCUACUGUUUCAUUGGGUUGUUGCUGGAAUUCUGCUGGUUUUAUUUAACUUUGUUACUGGGCUGUUCUGUUGAUUGUUGCUGGUUGUUUGUUGCUGUUGCUGUGUUGCUUACUUCAACUGCUGAUCCUUUCUUCUUCUUUGAAUCUUCAUUGCCAGGUACACAUUCGAAUUCAGCUCGAUGUAGUUUUCUGAAGUUGGAAAGAUGAAAUGAAAUGUUCAUUUGUCUCCCGAGAUAUAUCUGUUCAACUGCGAUGAAUGCUUUUGUUUUAGUUUCAGUUCAUUUGAUUCAUGUAUUUCCUAGACUGUUAAUUAAAUUGACGAUUCUGACCAAAUUGAACAUUGAAUACGAAUUAGCUAGUUGUUAAACUAUAAGUCCUGUAAUUGCAUAAAGGAUAAAUUGAAUUUUGCAAUAGUUGUAGUUUAUCUAAAUGUAGUGUGUUUUAAUUUGUAUGCAUAUGGAAUUUGGACUAUGUAGUUUAAAUUAAACUCGACAGUGGAGUGAAUAUUUGAGAUUGCGUAGGAUUUAAUUGCAGGUUCGAAUUCGUAUCUUAGCUUUUUAGCUGACUGUUAGUUGAAUUGUUUAGUGUACUAUGUCUGUGUGUUUAUUUCCUUGAAAUUAAGUGAGAUAUUUGAAAAUGGAAGAAUGGCAGUUGGGUCAUAAUUUAAGCUUGAAAACGGGUGUUGCGUUCAAAAGGCGUUGCUAUUCUUAAUUCGCUCGUCUGUUAUGUUAAUGUUUGUUUCAGUUGGUCUCCAUUAUUUGAAUGUUUUAUCUGUUCCUCUACUCAAAUUCCUCGUAGGUGUUCUUUUCUUUUGCAUUGAGAUUUUUCUAUUACAUUUGUUAUUAGUUUGGUAAGACCUAAUUAGAAAUGUUUUGCUGAUUUUGGUUGCAAUCUUUUGGCAGUAAUUUGUAAAGCUGUUAGGUCCAAUCAAACGUUAGUUUGCCUAGUGCUAGAUUAUUGAUUUUUAGUUGUAGUUUAAAUACGUGCUUAAAAUGAAUUGAAAAUUCCUUUAGCCUUUUAUUCAAUUAGCUAGGUUCUUUAAUUAGUUAAGAUAUGCCUUUGAUAGAACAAUUCGAGACGAGCUUCGACCAAUAAAAUGCUUGUGGGGCCUUCGUUAGAUGUAUAUAUUAAAAAUACUUAGACUGCGGGAUGUGCCGUUUAGCGAAUUGCACUGCCUUCCCAAAAAUAAUAACGCGCUAAUCACUUUAGGCACGCUUUUAAUAAAGUUACUUUCUUAAACUCGGGUGCACAUUUAUGUGACCCAAAUUCAAAUCUCAACGGAGUCAAAAUUUGUCAACGAUCACUUGUACACUAGUUGUGACGUGGUUCGAAAUACGUUUUUACAACGUUGCAAUUCUUUUGUUAAUAAUAAUAAUAAUUAUAAUAAAAAUAAAAGUGAUGAAGAGUUAAAGCUUGCACAAAGCUAAUAAUUAUAAAAAAAUAGAUAAAUAAGUCGAAUAUGACAGUUGGGCGACCGUGCUAGAACCACGGAACUCGGGAAUGCCUAACACCUUCUCCCGGAUUAACAGAAUUGAACAUAGACUAUUUAUGUAAUAAAAUCAUAUAAAAGCAAAAUUCAACAAUUGAGCGACCGUACUAGAACCACGGAACUCGGGAAUGCCUAACUCCUUCUCCCGGAUUAACAGAAUUCCUUAUCCGGAUUUCUGGAUCGCGGACUGCAAUACAGAGUCAAUCUUUUCCUCGACUCGGGAUUAAUCCGGUGACUUGGGACACCAUAAAUCUCCCAAGUGGCGACUCUGAAAUAAAUAAAUAAAUCCCGUUUCGAUUGUCCUUUAAUUAGAAAAACUCCUUUGCGCCCUCAGGGGUGUCGAAACAGGAGGUGUGACAAGAUUUACACAGAUCAUCGGAGUUUACAACACUUGUUCAAGCAGAAGGAUCUAAACUUGUGCCAGAGGAGAUGGUUGGAGCUACAGAAGGAUUAUGAUAUUACUAUUCUUUAUCACCCGGGCAAGGUCAAUGUGGUAGCUGAUGCCUUGAGUCGCCGGGCGGAGAGUUUUGGGAGUUUGGCAUAUUUACCAGCUUCUGAGAGACCUAUGGCGAUGGAUGUUCAGGCCUUAGCCAGCCAGUUCGUGAGAUUGAACCUUUCGGAGCCCAAUCGGGUUCUAGCCUGUGUGAUUUCUCGGUCUUCAUUGUUUAAUCGUAUCAGGGAGAGGCAGUAUGAUGACCCUCAUUUUCUUGUACUCAGGGACGCAUUUCAGCAUGGCGAUGCUAGGGAUGUGAAUAUUGCAGAUGACGGGGCAUUGAGGAUGCAUGGUCGGAUCUGUGUACUCGAUGUUGAUGAUAUUCGGGAGUUGAUAUUGACAGAGGCCCAUAGCUUGCGGUACUUCAUCCAUCCGGGUGCCACGAAGAUGUAUCAGGAUCUGAGGCAGCAUUACUGGUGGAGGCGGAUGAAGAACGACAUAGCAGAGUUUCUAGCUAGAUGCCUCAACUGUCAUUAAGUAAAGGCUGAGCACCAGAGACCGGGAUGGUUACUCCAGCAGAUGGAGAUUCCGGAGUGGAAAUGGGAGAAGAUCACUAUGGAUUUUGUAACUGGUCUCCCUCUAACGGUGAAGAAAUUUGAAUCUAUUUGGGUUGUUGUGGAUCGACUGACCAAGUCCACUCAUUUCAUUCCAGUGUGUACUUCUUACUCUGCGGAGGGGUUAGCGGGGAUUUAUAUUAGGGAGAUUGUUCGUUUGCAUGACAUUUCAGUUUCUAUCAUCUUAGACAGGGGUUCAGUGUUUACAUCACGGUUCUGGAGAGUCGUUCAGCAGGAGUUGGGUACCCAGGUUACUAUGAGCACAACUUUUCACCCUUAGACGGACGGACAGUCCGAGUGCACCAUUCAGAUUCUGGAGGAUAUGCUCCGUGCGUGAUUGAGUUUAGGGGGUCUUGGGAUCAGUUCUUGCCAUUGGCUGAGUUUGCAUACAACAACAGUCAUCAGUCCAGUAUUCACAUGACGCCGUAUGAGGCCUUAUAUGGUAGGCGAUGCAGAUCCCCGGUGGGUUGGUUGGAACCGAGUGAGGCCAGGAUAUUGGGCGCUGAUUUGGUCCAGGAUACGGUCGAAAAGGUUAAGGUGAUUCAGGAUACACUCCGUACGGCCCAGUCCAGACAGAAGAGUAACCGGACCGGAAGGUUCGUGAUGUUUCCUUUAUGGUUGGUGAACAGGUUCUGCUUCAGGUCUCGCCUAUGAAGGGCGUUAUGAGGUUUGGGAAGAAAGGGAAGUUGAGCCCGAGGUUCAUUGGUCCAUUUGAGAUUUUGAAGCGAGUUGGAGAGGUUGCUUAUGAGCUUGCCUUACCCCAGUUUGGCCGGGGUUCAUCCGGUAUUUUAUGUCUCGAUGCUUUGGAGGUAUCACGGUGACCCGUCUCACCUGUUGGAGUUCAUUUCAGUCCAGUUGGACAAUGACUUGUCCUAUAUUGAGGAGCUAGUGGCGAUAUUAGACAGGCAGAUCCGAAAGCUCAGGUCAAAGGAUAUAGCUUCAGUAAAGGUUUAGUGGCGGAGUCAGCCGGCCAAGGAGGCGACUUGGGAGACCGAGCGGGAUAUGGGCAGCCGAUACCCUCAUCUUUUUGCUACUUCAGGUAUGUUCUCUAUGCUCGUUAGAGGACGAAUGAAUGUUUAAGUGUGGGAUAAUGUGACGACCCAGCCGGUCAUCUUUGGCAUUUAUGCCCAGUAUCCACAUUAGAUGUUUAAGUGUAGGAGGAUGUGACGACCCCGUCGGUCAUCUUUGGAAUUUAUAUUCCGUUCUCCCAUUAACUGCUUCCCCUAAGUCCUUUUAUGCUCUUUUGGUUUGCCGGGACACUCGGUAGUAGAAUUCAGAGUGCUUUGGGAAACUUAGUCCCUAAAUGAGAGCUUAAGUGUUUGAAAGUCGUCCGUAAUCGAAACAGUGUGAAGACGACCUCGGAAUGGAAAUCCGAUGGUUACGUUGGCUCCGUUAGGUGAUUUUGGGGUUGGGAGCAUGUUCGGAAUGUAUUUUGGAUAUCCGUAGCUCAUUUAGGCUAGAAAUGCCGAAAGUUAAAAUUUUAAGAUUUCCGGUCCGAUAGUGAAAUUUUGAUCCGAGGGUCGAAAUGGGAUUCCAGAAGUUGUUGUAGUACCGUCAUGUCAUUUCGGACGUGCGUGCAAAAUUUCAGGUUAGUCAGACGUGUUUUGGUUAGGUUUUUGAUCGAAAGCGAGUUUGGUUGAGUUUUGAAGUUCUUAGGUUCAAAUCAUUGAUUAAUUCAACUUUCCGGCAUUAUUUUAGGUGGUUUAAGGAUUUGUACAAGUUCGAAUGGUGUUAUGGGAUAUGUCCGUAGGUUUGGUUGAGGUCUCAAGGGCCUCGGGUGUGUUUUGGAUGAACGGAGCAAUGGGAGUUUGGAAGUUGCUGCAAAAAAUUGCAGAUCUAUUUUCCUUCUUCGCGUUCGCGAAGAAGGCAGCACGUUCGCGAAGCUUUGCCUUUCUCUUUAUUGCGUUCACGUCCUUGACCACGCAUUCGCGUAGGCCAUUUCUGGACCCCCUGUCUUUCCUUCUACGCGUUCACGUGAUACGCGCCGCGUUGGGUCCAUUCCCAUGCCUUCGCGUUCGCAGCCUGACCUUCGCGAUCGCGAAGGUCAGCUUUCAGUCACUUAAAACUUUCCCUUCAUGAACGCGAGAGACCUUCCGCGUCCGCGAUGCUUUGACCCCUGAACAGUAAUAAUAUUUCAAAAACGAGGAUUUCUUUCAUUCUUAACAAAACUCAAGCUAGAGAGCUCGAAUUUAAGGGAUUUUUCGAAGGGUUUUUCGAGGCAACGAUUGAAUAACGAUUCCUUACUCCUCUAUGAUUAAUACCCACUAAUCUAAUCUCAAAUUCAACCUUUAAUUUCAGAUUUUGAAUGAAAAUUGGGGUAAAGUUCUUAAACCUAAUUGUGAGGAUUUGAGGGGGAAUUUUGACCUCCGAUUUGGGAGAUUUUUAUAUGGAUAGAUUCGUGAGAGUAAGAGGUUUCUGAAAAUGUGAAAAUUAUUUGAUUCCGAGAUGUUGGACUGAGGGGCGUUUUGGUUAUUUCACCUAUUUUCGCGCCUUAGCUUUAAUUUUAAUAGUGGAAUUGGUUACUUGCGAUAUUAUUUACAAUAUGUAAUUAGUUUGAAUAGAUUUGGGUAACUCGGAUUCGGAUACUCGUGGCAAGGGCAUCAUUUUAUAGUGAUUUUGUGCCGGUCUGAGGUAAGUGGCUUGUGUAACCUAGUGUGGGGGACCUCUCCCCUUAGGACUUCUUAUCUGGUGAUUUAAAAGCCUUAUACGCGAUGUGAUGAGUGUGUACUUUAUCUAAUUGUUGAAAAAUCCACUUUACUUGAAUUAUCUAAACUGUGUUUCUCCGUUUUAUUUGACUGGGUUCAACGCAAGAUUUAAUCUGUGCUAGUUAGAAGAGCAUGAUCAGAUAGAAUUAACUGCGUACUUAUUUAUUUUCCUAAGUUGUUCUACGUGAAGCAUGCUAGGUUAGUCAUACCUAAUUGUUGUCGUUUUCCAUAUUGGAUUUUUCCUGUAAAUUCUUGGUUGUGGUUGCGCACUUAAAUUGGGACUAUGGAUGUGGGAUUCCGGGAGCUCCCCUUUGUUGUUUAUUUGAGACUACGGGCCCGAUUCCCGAGAGAUCCCCCUGCACAAUUAUAUGAAACUACGACAAUGCAGCCGGUAGAUUCCCCAGUACUGGGUAUUGAUAUGAUGAACUACGGGUUAGAUUCCCGGGAGAUCCUCCAAAUAUUCAAAUAUGAUGGACUACGAGUUAGAUUCCCGGAGAUCCUCCAGAUAUUCAAAGGUUGCAUUGUUUAAAUCCUGACCCUUGGACGUUUGUCUUGCAUAAAUAUGCAAUUAAAUAGAAUUGGCCAUGGCCACCCUUUCAGAGUUUGAUCCUAGUUGAUGUUGAUAAUCUUAGUUAAUAUAGGAAAUCGUGUAACAAACUCCUAGAAUAUUCUAGUGAGGGUCUAAGUAUAAUUUCUGCCUAAAAAAUUGAGGCACAAGUCAAAAUACCAAGGACCAUUUAGGCAAAACUGAAAAAUGGAUAAAGGACUAAAAGGAAAACAAAGAGAUUAUGUUUCCCUAAGGCUUUAGUUAUAAAAGGGGACAACCUGAUCAUUUCAAAGAGACUUUUGCAUAUAUUUUUUUCGAGCAGAUUUUUGAAAGGAUUCGGGAUUUUUCUUCAGGCUAUUAGAGAGUUAGAAUAUAACCUUUAGAUAAAAAUACACAUUAGCCUUUCAUACAUUAUUCAGAAAAUCCUCUUCGAGUUGUUUCUUCUGAUUGAACUUUCCUUAAUAAUCAAUACAAGUUCUAAGCUGCUGUAGAGAUCUAUUGUCACUAUUUGCCUCUCAAAUUUCCUGAGCUCUUGGGUUUUUACUGGUUGUGUGGCUGUUGUGUUUGCUUGCUACUCUCUUAACCUUACUCAUAGGUUCUUCUUUUUCUGCUGAAAUUCCAGGUAUCAAUCCUCACUCAAAAAUCUGAGAAGUAAUAGCUAUGUACGUUCGAGAUUCUAAGCUGAUAAUGAAGACAAUAAUAUACUUUUUUCUGCUGAAAUUCCAGGUAUCCAUCCUCACUCAAAAUAUGAGAAGUAAUGGCUAUGUACAUUCGAGAUUAUAGCUGAUAAUGAAGAUAACAAUAUUUUUAUGUAUCAAUUUCAUGUUAUGAGUAUUAUGUACUUCUUAGUAGCAUUUCCGAUAGUGUAAUGUAUAAGAAUUUGUAACAACACUGGACUGUAUGUGGACUCUAACUUCAACUUGUUUAGAUUUCAUUAGGAUUAACAGAGCCUAGUCCAUGAUUUUACUUAGUAUCCAUGAAUGAGGAUGUAGUAAAGAGUAAACAACUGUAUAUGCAUAUACUCUGAAUGAUGAGUACUUCGUAAUCUUCUUUAAAUACUAGAGUUGAAAUCUGAU